CACAGUUAAGGGUAACAAAGGAAAGUGGAGACUGGAGGCCAACCACCUAUUGGGUGCCAUGAGUCCGUGAAGUACCUGUUCCAGCAGGAGCAUCAGAUUCCAUCCCGCGGCCCCGUUUGUUUUGAGGGUUCAUAGUUACUUCAGGGAGGGGCCGAGCCGAGGGUGGAACUACCUCAUUGAUGAUGUUAAAGAUCGGGAUGAUGUCCAUAGAGCGCAUA
rnacentral:lncRNA from 1 species